ensembl:rRNA 5S_rRNA 5S ribosomal RNA
GCUUACAGCCAUCCCACACUGAGCACGCCUGAUCUCAUACGAUCUCGGAAGCUAAGCAGUGCUGGGCCUGGUUAGUACUUGGAUGGGAGACCAACUGGGAAUACCAGGUGCUGUAAGCU